UAUGGCCAUACCACCCUGAACACGCCCGAUCUCGUCUGAUCUCGGAAGCUAAGCAGGGUCGGGCCUGGUUAGUACUUGGAUGGG
rnacentral:miRNA from 1 species